rnacentral:rRNA from 1 species
UACGUAGGGCGCAAGCGUUGUCCGGAAUUAUUGGGCGUAAAGAGCUCGUAGGCGGCUUGUCACGUCGGUUGUGAAAUCGCCCGGCUCAACUGGGCGGGGUCAGCGGAUACGGCCGAGCUUGAGCAAGCUAGGGGGCAAUGGAAUUCCCGGUGUAGUGGUGGAAUGCGUAGAUAUCGGGAGGAACACCAGUGGCGAAGGCGGUUGCCUGGGGCUUUGCUGACGCUGAUGCGCGAAAGCGUGGGGAGCGAUCCGG